rnacentral:rRNA from 1 species
AAUGAACGUUGGCGGCAUGGAUUAGGCAUGCAAGUCGAGCGCGAAGAGUCAUUUGCUUGCAUUUGACUCUGAAAGCGGCGUAAGGGUGAGUAACGCGUAGUUACCUACCUCCGGGUCCGGAAUAGCUGCGGGAAACUGCAGGUAAUGCCGGAUAACAUCUCAGGAUCAAAGGUGAGAUUCCGCCCGGAGAGGGGACUGCGUCCUACUAGCUUGUUGGUGGGGUAAUGGCCUACCAAGGCUUCGAUGGGUAGCGGGCGUGAGAGCGUGGCCCGUCACACUGGGACUGAGACACUGCCCAGACACCUACGGGUGGCUGCAGUCGAGAAUCUUCGGCAAUGGGCGAAAGCCUGACCGAGCAAUGCCGCGUGCGGGAUGAAGGCCCUCGGGUUGUAAACCGCGAAAGUAAGGAGGAAGGACCUGCGAAGAGCAGGUUUUGACCGAUCUACAGUAAGGACGGGCUAAGUUCGUGCCAGCCGCCGCGGUAAUAC